rnacentral:rRNA from 1 species
CCAUCAGGCUUUGCUUGGUGGUGAGAGUGGCGAACGGGUGAGUAAUGCGUGACCGACCUGCCCCAUACACCGGAAUAGCUCCUGGAAACGGGUGGUAAUGCCGGAUGCUCCGACUCCUCGCAUGGGGUGUCGGGAAAGAUUUCAUCGGUAUGGGAUGGGGUCGCGUCCUAUCAGGUAGUCGGCGGGGUAACGGCCCACCGAGCCUACGACGGGUAGCCGGCCUGAGAGGGCGACCGGCCACAUUGGGACUGAGAUACGGCCCAGACUCCUACGGGAGGCAGCAGUGGGGAAUAUUGCACAAUGGGCGCAAGCCUGAUGCAGCGACGCCGCGUGCGGGAUGACGGCCUUCGGGUUGUAAACCGCUUUUGAUCGGGAGCAAGCCUUCGGGUGAGUGUACCUUUCGAAUAAGCACCGGCUAACUACGUGCCAGCAGCCGCGGUAAUACGUAGGGUGCAAGCGUUAUCCGGAAUUAUUGGGCGUAAAGGGCUCGUAGGCGGUUCGUCGCGUCCGGUGUGAAAGUCCAUCGCUUAACGGUGGAUCUGCGCCGGGUACGGGCGGGCUGGAGUGCGGUAGGGGAGACUGGAAUUCCCGGUGUAACGGUGGAAUGUGUAGAUAUCGGGAAGAACACCAAUGGCGAAGGCAGGUCUCUGGGCCGUUACUGACGCUGAGGAGCGAAAGCGUGGGGAGCGAACAGGAUUAGAUACCCUGGUAGUCCACGCCGUAAACGGUGGAUGCUGGAUGUGGGGCCCGUUCCACGGGUUCCGUGUCGGAGCUAACGCGUUAAGCAUCCCGCCUGGGGAGUACGGCCGCAAGGCUAAAACUCAAAGAAAUUGACGGGGGCCCGCACAAGCGGCGGAGCAUGCGGAUUAAUUCGAUGCAACGCGAAGAACCUUACCUGGGCUUGACAUGUUCCCGACAGCCGUAGAGAUAUGGCCUCCCUUCGGGGCGGGUUCACAGGUGGUGCAUGGUCGUCGUCAGCUCGUGUCGUGAGAUGUUGGGUUAAGUCCCGCAACGAGCGCAACCCUCGCCCUGUGUUGCCAGCACGUCAUGGUGGGAACUCACGGGGGACCGCCGGGGUCAACUCGGAGGAAGGUGGGGAUGACGUCAGAUCAUCAUGCCCCUUACGUCCAGGGCUUCACGCAUGCUACAAUGGCCGGUACAACGGGAUGCGACACGGCGACGUGGAGCGGAUCCCUGAAAACCGGUCUCAGUUCGGAUUGGAGUCUGCAACCCGACUCCAUGAAGGCGGAGUCGCUAGUAAUCGCGGAUCAGCAACGCCGCGGUGAAUGCGUUCCCGGGCCUUGUACACACCGCCCGUCAAGU